rnacentral:rRNA from 1 species
GGUUAAGCGACUAAGCGUACACGGUGGAUGCCCUGGCAGUCAGAGGCGAUGAAGGACGUGCUAAUCUGCGAAAAGCGUCGGUAAGGUGAUAUGAACCGUUAUAACCGGCGAUGUCCGAAUGGGGAAACCCAGUGUGAUUCGUCACACUAUCGUUAACUGAAUACAUAGGUUAACGAGGCGAACCGGGGGAACUGAAACAUCUAAGUACCCCGAGGAAAAGAAAUCAACCGAGAUUCCCCCAGUAGCGGCGAGCGAACGGGGAGCAGCCCAGAGUCUGAAUCAGCUUGUGUGUUAGUGGAACGGUCUGGAAAGUCCGACGGUACAGGGUGAUAGUCCCGUACACCAAAAUGCACAGGUUGUGAACUCGAAGAGUAGGGCGGGACACGUGGUAUCCUGUCUGAAUAUGGGGGGACCAUCCUCCAAGGCUAAAUACUCCUGACUGACCGAUAGUGAACCAGUACCGUGAGGGAAAGGCGAAAAGAACCCCGGCGAGGGGAGUGAAAAAGAACCUGAAACCGUGUACGUACAAGCAGUGGGAGCACCUUCGGGUGUGACUGCGUACCUUUUGUAUAAUGGGUCAGCGACUUAUAUUCUGUAGCAAGGUUAACCGUAUAGGGGAGCCGCAGGGAAACCGAGUCUUAACUGGGCGUUAAGUUGCAGGGUAUAGACCCGAAACCCGGUGAUCUAGCCAUGGGCAGGUUGAAGGUUGGGUAACACUAACUGGAGGACCGAACCGACUAAUGUUGAAAAAUUAGCGGAUGACUUGUGGCUGGGGGUGAAAGGCCAAUCAAACCGGGAGAUAGCUGGUUCUCCCCGAAAGCUAUUUAGGUAGCGCCUCGUGAACUCAUCUUCGGGGGUAGAGCACUGUUUCGGCUAGGGGGUCAUCCCGACUUACCAACCCGAUGCAAACUACGAAUACCGAAGAAUGUUAUCACGGGAGACACACGGCGGGUGCUAACGUCCGUCGUGAAGAGGGAAACAACCCAGACCGCCAGCUAAGGUCCCAAAGUCAUGGUUAAGUGGGAAACGAUGUGGGAAGGCACAGACAGCCAGGAUGUUGGCUUAGAAGCAGCCAUCAUUUAAAGAAAGCGUAAUAGCUCACUGGUCGAGUCGGCCUGCGCGGAAGAUGUAACGGGGCUAAACCAUGCACCGAAGCUGCGGCAGCGACACUAUGUGUUGUUGGGUAGGGGAGCGUUCUGUAAGCCUGCGAAGGUGUGCUGUGAGGCAUGCUGGAGGUAUCAGAAGUGCGAAUGCUGACAUAAGUAACGAUAAAGCGGGUGAAAAGCCCGCUCGCCGGAAGACCAAGGGUUCCUGUCCAACGUUAAUCGGGGCAGGGUGAGUCGACCCCUAAGGCGAGGCCGAAAGGCGUAGUCGAUGGGAAACAGGUUAAUAUUCCUGUACUUGGUGUUACUGCGAAGGGGGGACGGAGAAGGCUAUGUUAGCCGGGCGACGGUUGUCCCGGUUUAAGCAUGUAGGCUGGUUGUCCAGGCAAAUCCGGAUAAUCAAGGCUGAGGUGUGAUGACGAGGCACUACGGUGCUGAAGUAACAAAUGCCCUGCUUCCAGGAAAAGCCUCUAAGCAUCAGGUAACAUCAAAUCGUACCCCAAACCGACACAGGUGGUCAGGUAGAGAAUACCAAGGCGCUUGAGAGAACUCGGGUGAAGGAACUAGGCAAAAUGGUGCCGUAACUUCGGGAGAAGGCACGCUGGUGUGUAGGUGAAGUCCCUGCGGAUGGAGCUGAGACCAGUCGAAGAUACCAGCUGGCUGCAACUGUUUAUUAAAAACACAGCACUGUGCAAACACGAAAGUGGACGUAUACGGUGUGACGCCUGCCCGGUGCCGGAAGGUUAAUUGAUGGGGUUAUCCGUAAGGAGAAGCUCUUGAUCGAAGCCCCGGUAAACGGCGGCCGUAACUAUAACGGUCCUAAGGUAGCGAAAUUCCUUGUCGGGUAAGUUCCGACCUGCACGAAUGGCGUAAUGAUGGCCAGGCUGUCUCCACCCGAGACUCAGUGAAAUUGAACUCGCUGUGAAGAUGCAGUGUACCCGCGGCAAGACGGAAAGACCCCGUGAACCUUUACUAUAGCUUGACACUGAACAUUGAGCCUUGAUGUGUAGGAUAGGUGGGAGGCUUUGAAGCGUGGACGCCAGUCUGCGUGGAGCCAACCUUGAAAUACCACCCUUUAAUGUUUGAUGUUCUAACGUUGGCCCCUUACCGGGGUUGCGGACAGUGUCUGGUGGGUAGUUUGACUGGGGCGGUCUCCUCCCAAAGCGUAACGGAGGAGCACGAAGGUUAGCUAAUCCUGGUCGGACAUCAGGAGGUUAGUGCAAUGGCAUAAGCUAGCUUGACUGCGAGCGUGACGGCGCGAGCAGGUGCGAAAGCAGGUCAUAGUGAUCCGGUGGUUCUGAAUGGAAGGGCCAUCGCUCAACGGAUAAAAGGUACUCCGGGGAUAACAGGCUGAUACCGCCCAAGAGUUCAUAUCGACGGCGGUGUUUGGCACCUCGAUGUCGGCUCAUCACAUCCUGGGGCUGAAGUAGGUCCCAAGGGUAUGGCUGUUCGCCAUUUAAAGUGGUACGCGAGCUGGGUUUAGAACGUCGUGAGACAGUUCGGUCCCUAUCUGCCGUGGGCGCUGGAGAAUUGAGGGGGGCUGCUCCUAGUACGAGAGGACCGGAGUGGACGCAUCACUGGUGUUCGGGUUGUCAUGCCAAUGGCACUGCCCGGUAGCUAAAUGCGGAAGAGAUAAGUGCUGAAAGCAUCUAAGCACGAAACUUGCCCCGAGAUGAGUUCUCCCUGAGACUUUAAGUCUCCUGAAGGAACGUU